GAUGAACGCUGGCGGCGUGCCUAAUACAUGCAAGUCGAACGCUGGAACUCUAGCUUGCUAGAUUGAAGGAGUGGCGAACGGGUGAGUAAUACAUAAGCAACCUACCCACGAAGACUGGGAUAAUCUCUGGAAACGGGGACUAAUACCGGAUAGGUAAUCGGAAGGCAUCUUCUGAUUAUUAAAGGUUACAAACACUGGUGGAUGGGCUUAUGGCGCAUUAGUUAGUUGGUGAGGUAACGGCCCACCAAGACGAUGAUGCGUAGCCGGCCGGAGAGGGUGAACGGCCAAAUUGGGACUGAGACACGGACCAGACUCCUACGGGAGGCAGCAGUAGGGAAGUUUCGGCAAUGGGGGAAACCCUGACCGAGCAACGCCGCGUGAGUGAUGACGGCCUUCGGGUUGUAAAGCUCUGUUGUAAGGGAAGAACGGUAGAUAGAGAAUAUCUAAAUGACGGUACCUUACCAGAAAGCCACGGCUAACUACGUG
rnacentral:rRNA from 1 species